CGGCCCAGACUCCUACGGGAGGCAGCAGUGGGGAAUAUUGCACAAUGGGCGCAAGCUGAUGCAGCGACGCCGCGUGAGGGAUGACGGCUUCGGGUUGUAAACCUCUUUCACCAGGGACGAAGCUAACGUGACGGUACCUGGAGAAGAAGCACCGGCCAACUACGUGCCAGCAGCCGCGGUAAUACGUAGGGUGCGAGCGUUGUCCGGAAUUACUGGGCGUAAAGAGCUCGUAGGCGGUUUGUCGCGUCGUCUGUGAAAUUCUGCAACUCAAUUGCAGGCGUGCAGGCGAUACGGGCAGACUUGAGUACUACAGGGGAGACUGGAAUUCCUGGUGUAGCGGUGAAAUGCGCAGAUAUCAGGAGGAACACCGGUGGCGAAGGCGGGUCUCUGGGUAGUAACUGACGCUGAGGAGCGAAAGCGUGGGUAGCGAACAGGAUUAGAUACCCUGGUAGUCCACGCCGUAAACGGUGGGUACUAGGUGUGGGGCUCAUUUCACGAGUUCCGUGCCGUAGCUAACGCAUUAAGUACCCCGCCUGGGGAGUACGGCCGCAAGGCUAAAACUCAAAGGAAUUGACGGGGGCCCGCACAAGCGGCGGAGCAUGUGGAUUAAUUCGAUGCAACGCGAAGAACCUUACCUGGGUUUGACAUACACCAGACGCGGUCAGAGAUGGUCGUUCCCUUGUGGUUGGUGUACAGGUGGUGCAUGGCUGUCGUCAGCUCGUGUCGUGAGAUGUUGGGUUAAGUCCCGCAACGAGCGCAACCCUUGUCCUGUAUUGCCAGCGGGUUAUGCCGGGGACUUGCAGGAGACUGCCGGGGUCAACUCGGAGGAAGGUGGGGAUGACGUCAAGUCAUCAUGCCCCUUAUGUCCAGGGCUUCACACAUGCUACAAUGGCCGGUACAGAGGGCUGCGAUACCGUGAGGUGGAGCGAAUCCCUUAAAGCCGGUCUCAGUUCGGAUCGGGGUCUGCAACUCGACCCCGUGAAGUCGGAGUCGCUAGUAAUCGCAGAUC
rnacentral:rRNA from 1 species